AUUUAAGCAAUAUCUAUUACCGUCGAAGAAGUCGGCCAGCCAAGAGUGCAUCGUUUAUGUUUGGAACGUAAUGUCCAGUGUUUCACUGAUGAUGUCUGACAAGGGUUCCCCUCGGAAGGACGCACCUCUAGGUAGGAGAGACCCUGUAUACCGGAAGCUGCGUGAAGUACAUGACCUUGCAGAGGAGAAGAACAUCGACGAAGCUAUCACAAAGGAACUGGGGGGAGGCAAUCGGAAUAGCCGAACGACGUGAGCUGUACAUUGACAAGCACUGUUCCAUUGAAAGCGAUACAUUGAGGGAGAUCAGGAUUUUCACCCAGCAGAAGGACUGGACCGAGCCUGAGAAACAGGGACUCUGUGGGAGGAUGGGGCCCGGGAUGAUGACGGGGAAGGUGGAAGGCGAAUUCCUCAAAUUUCUGGUAAGCAUGCAACAGGCUAAGCGUAUCCUGGAUGUUGGCAUGUUUACCGGGUACAGCGCCCUGGCCAUGGCGGAAGCUAUUCCACCAGAGGGCGUGGUGAUCACGUGCGACACUGAGCAGUACCUGGAGCAAAUCAACCGUAAAAAAGUUGGACGAGUCUCCUCAUGGGCAAAAGAUCGACAUCAGAAUAGGUCAUGCCAAGAACACGAUGCUUAGUCUGGCAGAUGAGGGACAAAAGUUUGAUUUCAUAUUUGUGGACGCGGACAAAGAUUCCUACGUUGACUACUACAACGUCAUCAUGGAUCAAGGUUUGCUGGCUGCGAAUGGCACGGUUGCCUUUGACAACGCUUUCCGUGGAGGGAGAUCCUACAUGACUGAAGGUGGCCCAACUGACGCCCUGAACAGACUAGUUGAGAAGGACCCACGGGUCAGAAGGGUCCUAGUGCCCAUCCGUGACGGUGUGCUGCUGGUCCGCCGUGCCGAGGAGACCCUACUCUAGGGGACGUCGCUGUCUGUACCAUUUGGGGGAAAAGGGUCAGCUCUUUAGUAAUUUACGUAUAUAUCAAAGGAAGAAAGUUUUAUUCCAUACAGAAUUUCUUUUGUACGGAUUUAACCUUGUUGUAUGUUGAAAAUGUUGUCUUAAUAAACAUCGUAAUUGUU
rnacentral:lncRNA from 1 species